UACGAAGGGGGCUAGCGUUGCUCGGAAUCACUGGGCGUAAAGCGCACGUAGGCGGACUCUUAAGUCGGUGGUGAAAUCCUGGAGCUCAACUCCAGAACUGCCUUCGAUACUGAGAGUCUCGAGUCAGGGAGAGGUGAGUGGAACUGCGAGUGUAGAGGUGAAAUUCGUAGAUAUUCGCAAGAACACCAGUGGCGAAGGCGGCUCACUGGCCCGGUACUGACGCUGAGGUGCGAAAGCGUGGGGAGCAAACAGG
rnacentral:rRNA from 1 species